AUGAGUUCAUCAGGAAUUUGCAAGCACCUCAAAUAUGUCUACAAGCUGGUGGUAGACAACUUCCUAGCCAUCAUGACCAUACCAAUGGCCGCAUCCACCGUGGUUGUGGCGGGAAGGCUCGGGCCCGACGAGGUCGUGGGUCGGCUCCGAGCCCUUACGCCGGCGCACCUCUUCUUGUUCGGCUUCCUCCUUGUCUCCGCACUCACCAUGUAUCUAAUAUCGCGGCCGCGGAAGGUGUACCUCGUCGACUACGCCUGCUUCCAUGGCACUCAUCACUACCGCAUCCCAUUUGCGUCAUUCGUGGAGCACGCACGCGAAGUACCCACUUUCAACGAGGGGAGCAUCCGCUUCAUGUCACGGCUUCUCCAGAGCUCGGGCCUCGGGGAGGAGACAUGCGGACCCACGCCGGCCCUUUACAUCCCCCCGCACAAGUACUGCACGCUGGACGCCGCCCGCGAGGAGGCGGAGCUCGUCGUCUUCUCGGCCAUGGAUGAACUGUUCUCCAAGACGAACGUCCCUCUUGACGCCAUCGACAUACUCGUCGUCAACUGCAGCUGCUUCAACCCCACGCCGUCCUUCACCGACAUGAUCGUAAACAAGUACAAGCUGCGAGGCGACAUCCGCAGCGUGCACCUAUCCGGGAUGGGGUGCAGCGCCGGGCUGAUAUCGGUAGAGCUCGCGAGGAACCUCCUGCGGGCGGCGCCCCGAGGCGCACGGGCGUUGGUCGUGUCCACGGAGACCCUGUCGCCCCACCUCUACGUCGGGAACGAGCGGCCCAUGCUGCUGCCGUACUGCCUGUUCCGCAUGGGCGGGGCGGCCGUGCUGCUGUCCACGUCCGCCGCAAAUGCCCGGUUCCGGCUCACGGCCACCGUGCGCACGACCACCGCGGCGGAUGAUAAGUCCUACCGGUCCAUAUACCAGGAGGAGGAUGGCAAGGGGAACAAGGGUGCCGGUCUCUCCAUGGACCUUAUCGCCGUCGCCGGUCGCACUCUGAAAGCCAACAUCACCGCCAUUGCGCCCAUCGUCCUCCCGAUCUCUGAGCAGCUUUUGUUUGCGAUGUCUUUCGUGGCACAAAAACUGUCCAGCGGGCGUGUUAGGUUGUACGUCCCCAACUUCCUCACGGCGUUUGAGCAUUUUUGCAUACACGCCGGUGGGUCAGCGGUCAUCGACGAGGUUCAACGCAGCCUCGGCCUGUCGGACAAGCACGUCGAGCCAUCACGAAUGACGCUGCACCGCUUCGGAAACAUAUCCAGCAGCUCAGUUUGGUAUGAGCUAGCAUAUAUCGAGGCCAAGGGCCGUAUGCAUGACGGUGAUCGCGUAUGGAUGAUCGGGUUUGGCUCUGGCUUCAAAUGCAACAGUGCGGUGUGGGAGUGCAUCGUCCCAGCCCCCAACAGCAAUGGACCAUGGGCUGGGUGCAUCCACCGCUAUCCAGUGCUGAUUAAGUCUCCAAAAGCAAAGCCGCGGCAAUAA
rnacentral:rRNA from 1 species